rnacentral:rRNA from 1 species
CCUACGGGUGGCAGCAGUGGGGAAUAUUGGACAAUGGGCGAAAGCCUGAUCCAGCCAUGCCGCGUGUGUGAAGAAGGCCUUCGGGUUGUAAAGCACUUUCAGUGGGGAAGAAAGCCUUGGGGCUAAUACCCUCGAGGAAGGACAUCACCCACAGAAGAAGCACCGGCUAACUCCGAGCCAGGAGCCGCGGUAAUACGGAGGGUGCGAGCGUUAAUCGGAAUUACUGGGCGUAAAGCGCGCGUAGGCGGUCUGAUAAGCCGGUUGUGAAAGCCCCGGGCUCAACCUGGGAACGGCAUCCGGAACUGUCAGGCUAGAGUGCAGGAGAGGAAGGUAGAAUUCCCGGUGUAGCGGUGAAAUGCGUAGAGAUCGGGAGGAAUACCAGUGGCGAAGGCGGCCUUCUGGACUGACACUGACGCUGAGGUGCGAAAGCGUGGGUAGCAAACAGGAUUAGAUACCCCUGUAGUC